AGAGGUAUAGCUGGGUCCUCAGGCAGUUCAAUGUCCAUAAUUGCCUUUAUUACUUGAUUGUUUUAUCUGUCUUCUUUCAAAAGCGAUCCAGAGGGCUGCCUGUCAUCUGGAAGUGAGGAGCUGGGCAGCAUGCACACACGCAUAUGGAAGUGGCAAAAGUUGGCCUUGCUGCAUUAGGCCCAGUCUGACAAGGAGAAAAAUGUAGUGUUUUACCAUUGUGUGGGCAUGUGUGCGCACAUGGGUGUGUGUUUUUCUUUCCUCCAACAUGAAAUCAACUUUCCUACUUGGCCGCUGUCAUAGACUCCCAACCAUCACAAGGUUGAGGACCACAAGGGCCUUCUGCCUUCUGGAAAAGGUAGGAUUUUCUCCUUCCCCUAACAUUUGAAAAGUCACAUUUUACAUGUGUGCUGUGUGUUGGUGUGCAGUUAUCUUUGUGUACCAAGGGAGUGCCUGGUACCCUCAAAGGGCAGAAGAGCAGAGCAUUGAAUCCCCUGGAUCUGGAGUUACAAGUGGUUUCGAGCAGUCACGUGGCUACUUGGACUCAGACUCUGGUCUUUUGGAAGAGCGCACCUGGUCCUCUUAAGUCCCUGAGUCAUCUCUUCAGUUUUAUUUUUAAUCCUAAAUUUAUGUUGAACUUUGGAGGCAGUGCUUUCUAAGUCUGCCCACACGAUGGUGUGCAUUUUAAAGUCUGUUUUAUUAAAUGGUGUAUUGUGCUGUAACGUUCUGAUACUAAAGCAGCCUGGGGCUCAUGGGAUACACUCCAUUUGGUGUCUCAGUCAGGGUUUACUGCUGUGCACAGACACCAUGACCAAGGCAACUCUUAGGACAAGAUUUCACUGGGGCUGGUUUACAGCGUCAGAAGUUCAGUCCAUCACCAUCAGGGCAGGAAGCAUGAUGCUAAAGGAGGAGCUGAGAGUUCUGCAUCUUGAUCAGAAGGCAGCCAGGAGAAGACUGUGUCCAAGGCAGCCAGGAGGAGGGUCUCAAAGCCCACACCCACAAUAACACACUUCCUCCAACAAGGCCUCACCACCUAAUAGUGCCAUUCCCAGGGCCAAGAGCAUUCAAACCACCACAGUUGGUUAAAUCUUUUUAUUCUUUAAAUGUUCUACCUUGCUAAUAUUCUGCUAAAGGUUCUAUUUUUAUAAGGAAAUUCAAAUACAAGGUGUUUGUGUUUUUCCUUAUAGUCAGUCAGUCACUUCCUCUGAAGUUAUAUGUGUGUGUGUGUGUGUGUGUGUGUGUGUGUGUGUGUGUGUGUGUCUUUGGUUUGGGUACACAUUAACACUGUCACAGAGUAACUUGAAAGCAUUUCCUUUGCCUGUUUUCUGGGAGAGUUGAAGUUAUUUUUCUUUUUUACAUGACUUGUAGAAUCUGUCCCUAGAAAAAUACCUUGGAUUUUUAAAAAAAAUUCUCUCAUAUAUUACAUCCCAAACACAGUGCCCCCCACCCCUUCCUUCCAGUCCUGCGUCACCCCCAUCCUGGUCUCCCAUUCCUCUUCCAUUUCCCUUCAAAAAAGAACUUCCCAGGGAUAUCGACCAAAUAUGGCAUAACAAAACAUAGUAAGCCUAGGCACAAAACCUCUUAUCUAGGUUGCAUGAGACAACCCAGUAGGAGGGAAAAGGUCCAAAAAACAGGCAAGAGAGCCAGAGACACCCACUCCCAUUCUUAGGAGUCCCACACGGACAUGAAGCCUCAGAAUCAUUACAUGUAUGCAGACGACCUAGGCCAGACCCAAAUGGGCCUUAGAUUUUAACUGUAGGAGUAUUUUAAAUCACAGAAUCUCUUGUAAUAAUAAAACCUGUAUUCGGUUUUAAAAAUCAAUUUCUAUACUUUUGUUAAUAUUCUCAGUUUGGUGGGAUACUAUUGUCAUUUCCUUUAAUUUUUGUCAACCUUGUUUCCUUUGUUUUAGUCUUUGUCACUGUCUCCAAUAUCUGAGGCCCUUCAGAGGUUGUCUCUGCUAGCUCUUCUUUCUCUCCUAUAUUUGAGUGCUUCUUUUGUAAAUCUCGUGAUGUUUUUCUUGAAGCUUGAACCUUUAGAGAGCUCAUGAUAACAUAGCAUGGUGUUCUCACACCUUUAACUGUGGUUGUUGCCGAGCUUCUUUUAUUCAUUGGGUAAUGAUUUACCUGGACUCAGUGAGAGGCUGGCUGUCUAAAUACAAGCAGCAGCUUCUGUGUGUGCUCAGUCUUUAUAUUGACAGAGCUCGCAUUGCUGUCGUAAGCCAUUCCUAUCAUACCCUGGAUUGGUAUAGCCCAGUAGCCAGCAUGUAACCGACCAGACCUGCACUUCAGCAUAAUGAUUUAAUAAAGCUGUGUCCCAUUUUUCGUUGAUUUGCUUCCGGCUGAAACUCAUUCAGUGUGCAGGAAGUUACCAUUCCUACCCUGUAUCAUAAAGCUGUAUGUUCAGUGAGCUUCAGAGUUACACAAGCCAUAGUCUGGUCUCUUCUGAGCUUGGGUACAACCAUGUACAUACAGGUGGUCUUCAGACCUACCAGGAAAAUUCAGGAGCGUGUAGGGCCUGCAUAACUGAUGCCCGCCGACCACACUGUUUAAUUUCUCUAGUCUUAGGCUAUAUGGAAUCGUAGGCUAGUUACAAGGGUUUCCCUGACUGUUUGGCACUGAAAUCUCUAUUAUUUUUGUCACUGUUCCUGGAUAUAGGUUGGCUUUUUGUUUGUUUGCUUGCUUGGUUGUGUGGACAACUGAUGACUUACUCUUCCCUACAGCAUUGCCAUGUGCUAGAGCCAGGGGGACAACACCAGAGACUUCUACCAAUCUCAGCGACGUUCAAUCAUUUCUCUUGAAGGUAUUCUUUUCACAUUUGUUGUAUGGCCCUGGUCAAUGUACAGGAUAUUAAGGUGGUUGUUUUUGAUAACUGUAUCCAUUGUAUAUGUUUUGGAGAAGGUUUGCCAUUCUUUGUACAGAUAGCCCAGGCAGUAAGUCUCCGUAAGAAUGAAGACCCAAGUUUGAUUUCCAGCCCCCGUAUGGAAAGCAGGACAUGGUGGUAAACAUGUGCAAUCCCAGCUCUAGGGAGGCUGAGACAGGUGGCUCCUUGGUACUCGUUGGGUAGCCCUGGGUCCUAGUGAAAGACUGUCUUAAAAACACAAGCCUUGCUGCUGAAUGAUGUGUUUGAUAGGCAUGAGAGCUGGUGGAUAUUAGUCGCAUCCUCUCUCUGGAAGCACGCAUGGUCCUUCCUGAUACCAUGGAAGCUCCUCCUCAGGGAGGAGGCUCUCAGGUCAGUCCACCUCAGGAGCAUCUGGGCCCUGUCUGAAGUGCGUGGUAUCUUCAGCAAUAGGGACAACUCUUCCAUCUCUGGGAGGUGGCCAAGGGCAGCAGGAAUAGGCUGUGUUCAGGGGUUCUCUUGACAGUUUUGGAUAACUACUCAAAAGAGGACUUCUCAUGUCUGGUAUCAGGGUUUCUGUUAGGAGAACUUUGACUCUUGGGUCACUACCAGCCCAGAACCUGAAGGAUGACAGACAUACGUUAGUGACAACCGUCAGCUGUCUAAUCGGACUUAAGGCCCACUCAAUAAAGGGGAAGUUCUCUCUGGUACUAGAAACCCAGCUAACUUCUCAGUGCUUGCGAAUGCAUGGUUAGUGGAAAAGACUUUAUAACCACUAACUUAGUAAACCAGCAUAAGUGCUAGCAAUCUACAAAUAUUUGUUCUUAUACCCUCAGAUCAAUCUAGGGUUUCAUUAACCCCUUAUCAGUGAAACUCUGCUUUGCAACAGAGAGCACAAUAAAAACCACAGCCAAUCACAAUGCAGAGUGGUGAAGCCUACUCCCCUUAGAGAGCACAAUAAAAACCACAGCCAAUCACAAUGCAGAGUGGUGAAGCCUACUCCCCUUAGAGAGCACAAUAAAAACCACAGCCAAUCACAAUGCAGAGUGGUGAAGCCUACUCCCCUUAGAGAGCACAAUAAAAACCACAGCCAAUCACAGUGCAGAGUGGUGAAGCCUACUCCCCUUGGAUACGUGUACAAACAGUCCUGUACCUCGUGUUCAGGGGACAUUGCCGAUGACGGGACAGGAAGACUGGAGGAGCCACAAGACUAGAGUUUACUGUGAGGUUCUGUUUCCUAGUAACAUUAGGAGCCACGCCCAUGAAGUCUCACCAGCAUAUCUGCCCAAAUGUGAACUGAACCGGGAUGACUCCAGUGGCCAUGGCUGAAGUGGAAAGAAGAAAGCCCACGAAGUCUCAACCUUAUGACAAACCAGAGGCAGCCGAGAAAUGCUGGGAGUGAGAGUGGGCGUCUUCCGCAGGGCAUGAGCAAGUUUUCAGGGAGAAAAGGCAAGGGGGAAACUUUGUGAUCCCAAAAACCUUUUUAAAAGUAAGAACAAGGGCUGAAAGAUAGCUCAGUGGUUAAGAGCACUGCUCUUCCAGAGGUUUUGAGGUCAGUUCCCAGCCAACCAGAGGGUGGCUCAUAACCAUCUGUAAGGGGAUCCCUGUCCUGGUGUGUCAGAAGAGAGCAACAGUGUGCUCACAUACAUACAAUAAAUAGGUAAUCUUUAAAAAAGAAAGUAAAAUCAAAGCCAACAUCAAGUCAGGUGACCUGAAUUCAGAAACAGAUGCAAAGAGACCCUAUUCUACGAGGUGUGGUAGUGUGACCAUACACAAACUGAGACACACAAAAUAAAUAGAAUGUCACAAAGGGUUAAAAGGAAAAUAAAACCAAAUCACAAGGAGCUCCUUAGGACCCAUGCUCGAGUCUUGGCCUCCACAUGCAAGCACACGUGUAUAGCUGCACACGUGUAUACACACAAACACACCCACUCAAGUUAGUUUCUUUAGAAAUAUAUCCCUCCAAGUGUUCGUAGUUCAGUUGUUUCUAGUUAUUUCCGAUUCAGGCAAAACUCGAGCCCUCGUUGGGGAGAACGCCUGUGGUGAGACGGGUCCGCUCCCUGUCCUUUACACUGUAGUCACACAUCUUAGACAUCUACACAUGGCUGCCACGGUUUGGGUUAAAUAGCCAUGGGGCCUGCAGGAAUGCCAUCAGGAGAGAGAGAAAGUUCUAGUAAGCAUACUUGACUUGUGUUCUGCAUCUGUGAACAGUGCUUUUUUCUUCAAGCUUAGGAGUCUCCCAACAACAAAGAAAGUCUCUGUAUCUUAUGGGGAGUACCUAGAAGAGUGUGUCUAGUCUUUUCAUUGUGUAAAGCGUGCAGAUAGUAAUUUGGGUAAAGGUACUGUGUAUACACAUCCUGACCCAUGUACACACAAAACACCUUCAUCCUUUGCAAUCUUACUUCCCGAACUUACGUACCUUCUACCACGGGAGAAAUCGCACCUCUCCAACCACGGGCUUUCACAGCUACAUGACCAUUAGUCACCACCGUCUCCCAGAAGCACGUAUUUCCUGACUAUUCAGUAUAUAGCACUAUAACUGGGCACAGCUUUUUAGGUUGGGUAUCUGUUUAGAGAAGAUUGUUUUAUUUUUUUUAGUGAAUAGAUAUAGUCUCCAUGUCAUCUUUUGGAAUACAUCGUUUUUUUUCUUUUGCCCUAACGUUAUCUCUUGGUGAGGAAUACUGCUAAUUUUAUGUUAUAUAUGUAUAUGUGUUAAUAUUAUGCGAUGGAAAUGCUAUUUUAUGCUAUGUGGCUCUACCACAUUUAUCUAUUUUGGAAACUUAAUUUUUAGCAUCUAGAGAAUGUGUUUGUCUAACUUGCCAAGAAUAGGCGCUCCAGGCUCUUGUUUUAUUCAUUGUCUGUGAGAGCUCUUAGCUUAUCUCUGUUUUAAACACGAACCACGCUUCGACGCAGGGUCUCCACACUGGACAUUCCACCUGGCAACAGCCCAGUCUCUUUUUCUUAAUUUAUGUGAAAUUGGUAAACUUUACAUUUGUGUACAACUUUGAAACAGUAUCGUCUGUAGCCCAGGCUGGCCUCCAGUACACUGCAGUCUUCCUGCCUCAGCCUCCCAAAUGCUAGAAAAUAAGUCCUGAGUGCCCAUUCUGGUUAGGUUGCAGAAGUCAUAGCAAAGUUGUCUGUACUGAUCACUUUUCUGUACUUGUAGAUAAAUUGUUACUUGGCGGUGCGUUCACACCCUUGUUUAUUGACCCCUCAUAGAAUGUAGCAGGGUGACUUACACCUGAGGUAAAAAUAGCUCCAGGGAAAGCUGACUAGACACAAUGCUUUACACUACAAAUUUUCUUUAAACAGGCAAAUGAGGUAGUUCCAAUGCUUAGUUAUAUUAUUUCAUCAUUCUACACAAAACAGCAGAGACACGGGACUAACCUCUGAAGUUAUUCAAAAGUCAGGUACUUUUUAAAUCUGCAUAAUCAUUCUUCAUUGGUGCCCUUGUCUAAGGACCGUUAUUCUUUCUGUUUUUCAAAGAAUUUUCUUUGUCUCUUGGUGUGUGUGUGUGUGUGUGUGUGUGUGUGUGAGAGAGAGAGACAGACAGACAGACAGACAGACAGACAGACAGACAGACAGAGACAGAGAGACAGGGAGGGGAUGGACAGAAAGCCAGGAUGUUUGUACACAAGUGUAUGCAGCUGUACAAGCCCCUGAGUGUGGAGGCCAGGCAGGGAUAUCAGGUAUCCUGCUCUAUCACUUCCUGCCUACUCUGUUGACACGUUCUCUCGUUGGGCCUGUAGCUGGGCUGGCAGUCAGUAAACCCCACCAAUCCUCCUGUUUUUCCCCAGCACAGAGCUGGGGUUACAGGUGCAUCUGUCUGUCUGUCUGUCUGUCUGUCUGUCUGUCUGUCUGUCUGUCUGUCUGUCUAAGCAUAGCACCAGCAAAGCACCGAGUGCCCUGGAUUAGAACUAAGACUCCAGGAGAAGGAGCUGUAUCCUUGGGAUAGACGUAAGACUUUUAACCCUUCAUUCACUCUCUCUUCCUUCUGCAAAAUGAAUGAUGUGGGAGACACUUAGCUGAAUAGUUGUUCAAGUCUUGUAGUUUUAAAGCUAUGUAGAAUUUACAUUACAAACACAUGAGGCUGACUCCUUUGGGGUCAGGAAAUGGAACCUCUGAAUGUGGUGUACCCAUAGUGACUUGCAAACCUUAGCUUCUCUGCUCCAGUGGUUUUGUUAGCGCUCUCCUCUGGCAUAGAGGAUCUCCUUCCUCUCAUUAGCUCUAGCAGAGUCCUGACAUUGUGUGAUGUCAGGUCCUGCUAUCUCCAGAAGGGAACCACCGUGUCUCCUAAAUAUGCCAGUCCACUGAGCUUUUCUCUUACUGAGCUGUGGUAACAUUUGCUACCCAGAGCAGUAACUCUGCUUCCUCUUGAUUGUCUGUAAAUCUCUCCUACUCCAGGCUAUGCACUUUUUUUUUCAUGAGCCUGAAUUAUUCCUUUUUUUCCUCCAUCUUUAUUAACUUGAGUAUUUCUUAUUUACAUUUUGAUUGUUAUUCCCCUUUCCGGUUUCCCAGCCAACAUUCCCCUAACCUCUCCCGCUCCCCUUCCAUAAGGGCGUUCCCCUCCCCAUCCUCCCCCCAUUGCCGUCCUCCCCCCAACAAUCACAUUCACUGGGGGUUCAGUCUUAGCAGGACCCAGGGCUUCCCCUUCCACUGGUCCUCUUACUAGGAUAUUCAUUGCUACCUAUGAGGUUGGAGCCCAGGGUCAGUCCAUGUAUAGUCUUUAGGUAGUGGCUUAGUUCCUGGAAGCUCUGGUUGGUUGGCAUUGUUGUUCAUAUGGGGUCCCGAGCACCUUCAAGGUCUUCCAGUCCUUUCUCUGAUUCCUUCAACGGGGGUCCUGUUCUCAGUUCAGUGGUUUAACAAAUGAUGGCAUUCGCCUCUGUAUUUGCUGUAUUCUGGCUGUGUCUCUCAGGAGCGAUCUACAUUCGGUUCCUGUCGGCCUGCUCUUCUUUGCUUCAUCCAUCUUAUCUACUUUGGUGGCUGUAUAUGUAUGGGCCACAUGUGGGGCAGGCUCUGAAUGGGUGUCCCUUCUGUCUCUGUUCUAAACUUUGCCUCUCUAUUCCCUGCCAAGGGUAUUCUUGUUCCCCUUCUAAAGAAGGAGUAAAGCAUUCACAUUUUGAUCAUCCUUCUUGAGUUUCAUGUGUUCUGUGCAUCUAGGGUAAUUCGAGCAUUUGGGCUAAUAGCCACUUAUCAAUGAGUGCAUAUCAUGUGUGUUUCUCUGUGAUUGGGUUACCUCACUCAGGAUGAUAUUUUCCAGUUCCAUCCAUUUCAGGCUAUGCACUUUUACUCUCAUUAUGCUUCUCUGUUAAAUAGACAUACUGAUUAAAGCUUGGUUUUUUUAAUUUAGAGAUGGCUACACGUGAAAUUUCUUUGUGCAAAUUGCUUUUUAACAAAAUACUUCUUUUGGACAACAACAAAAAAAGGGACUGAUUUAUCGGGGACAUUAAUAGUGAAUGGCCAUUUUAGGCCACACAUGGCUGGAUCCCUCAUGUAAAAUAAUGACAAGGAGUAUAAGAGUCUAAAACUGAGAUGUGGGGGAGGAGGGAAGUGUGACGCAGAAUAUAGUGGUAUUUUGAUGAAAGUGUCAAACAAUGAGGGUGGGAGGGUGUUCUGGUGAGUAAAGGCAGCUCCUGCCCAGCCCAGUAACAUGAGUUCAAGCCCUGGGACUCACACGUAGGAGGAGAGAACCAACUCCCACAAGCUGUUCUCUGAUCUCUGCGUAUGCACCAUGGUAAACAUACACCACUAGAAAAAUUAAAGCUAGCAUUUAAAGGGUUUUUGUGAUGUUUGUAACUAUGACUGCAUCUUGAGGAGAUAAUCCUAAAUCACAAAAAAAAAAAAAAAGGAAAAGAAAAAUAUUUGGGUUGGGGAUUUAGCUCAGUGGUAGAGCGUUUGCCUAGCAAGCGCAAGGCCCUGGGUUCGGUCCCCAGCUCUGGGGAAAAAAAAAGAAAAAUAUUUAUAUGAAAACAGUCAUGGUAGGCUUAUAUUUACAUUAAUGUUCCAAGAUAACCUUUGAGCAAACAUAUCCACUAUGAGAGAAUGCCAUAGAACUUGGAAAAUGGGAGUCUGAAUUUCUACAGAGCAUAAGGUAACUGUUAACCAAAAGAAGAAAUGAGAUUGUAGACCCUUCUACAUCUUGUGACCAGAAUGUUCCUCAGCUCAGGGAGUUCUCAGCACUUUGUCCAAGCAGAAGCGGAAGCCCCCAAUGUGGGUCCCUUAAAGUCACUAGUGUGCCGGGCGUCCUCAAUGAUCGGUUCACUACGUGGGAUUUCCUAGGAGCAAGCCAAUGUAUUCAUAAAUGAGUACGUAAUCUAAUAAAGUAAAUGGAUUUUGCUUGAUCUAAAAUAGACAGGGUACCGAGCUCUCAAUAUUUUGAAAGCUCCUGUUUGGGAACAUCUGCCUUGAAAUAACUGGUUAAUUUUAAUCAGGUUAAAAAAACAGAAAAGAACAAUGCCAGCAAAUGGGCGGCAUCAGGAAAGGGAAAGAGAAUAUACUGAGAAACAGAACUGAAACCUUACUAAUAGGAAGGACAGGAAAGGAAACCGAAACUCAGCCAACAGCACAAUGAAAACAAAACCCCGAACCAGGUAGGGUUUUAAAAGCCAGCAUUAUCAGAAAGUCAAAGUUCCCCAGGUGAUAAAGUGUACCGGAAAUGAACGAACUGUCUGACUUCGUUAUUCAGCUGAAAAAGGAGAGAUGUGUCAGCUUGACAAACCACAGGGCAUCGAGGCAUCUCGCACCGGGAGGGACUUAGUUCCCUUCCAGUCACCAGAGUUUGCUGGAGUGGCACAGGAGCACAUGAAAAUUGAAUCCGAGGAGAGUGGAGCUGCAAGAGGGAGGCAUGAGAGGGAAAUGCUGGGGCUCUUCGCCCGCUGUGCUCAUCAGAGGCCUCUGGGAGAACAGGACAAAUCAAUAGCACAUACGCAGCAGUGGAGUGAGGCCCAGGAGACGAAGAUGAGGGGCACAGGGCAUGGAAGCAGUGCGCACAAGCUCCUGUCUUCAGAACAGCCCCAAAUACUGCUGACGCAGCUUCUAGAUAAGAGGUGCUCAACCUGUGGCUGCUGGCCCUUUCACAGGAGUCACCCGCGACUAUCGGACAGUGUCAUAUUUACACUGUGAUUUGUGACAGCAGCCAAAUUACAGUUAGGAAGUUGCAGUGAAAAAUAAUUUUAUGGUUAGGGAUUACCACAAUUCAAGGAACUGUAUUAAGGGUGGCAGGCGGCAUUAGGAAGGCUUGGAACCACUGAUUUACAGUUGUUCUCCUGGUGUCCCCACCCCUCUGGCUCCUACACUCCUCCUGCCUCCUUACACCGGUUUACUGCACUCUAAGGGAAGGGAUUUACAGGAGAGCUCCCAUUUAGAGCUCAGUGUUCCAACGUUUCAGUCUUUGUGCAAUGUCUGAAAAGCCCAGUUUUAAAUUAGGGUUUUGUCUUCUUGGUUCUUUGGGUUGUUCGUUUUAUGAGUUGUUUGUAUAUUCUGGAUAUUAAUUAUAUAUCAUAUAUGCCAUGUAUAUCAUAUAUAUAUAUAUAUAUAUGAUAUAUAUGGCAAAGAUUCUCACUCUAUGGGUUCCUCUUUACUUGAUUGAUUGUUUCCUUGGUAGUACAGAGGACCCACUUCUCAAUUGUUGGUCUUAAUUCCUGGGCAAAAGGGUACCCUACUCAGAAACUCCUUUCCCACCUCUACAUUGUGUAGGGUAUGGCCUAUAUUUUCUUUUAGCAGGUUCAAUAUUUUAGGUGCCACAUGAGUUCUUUGACCCAUUUCUAGACAACUUUUGAGCAGGGUGAUAGAUACAGCUAUAAUUUCAUUUUUCUACACAUGAACAUUGUUUUCUUAGCACAAUAGGUCGAAGGUCUUGCCUUUUCUCCAAUGUAUGCUUUUAGUAUCUUUGUAUAUCAUGGUUGGGUCUUCUAAACCAAUUCUAACUUGGUUUAGAAGAUCAGUAGCUUUUCUAGACACCAACAUUCUCAGAAAGAGCUCAUGGACACGUUCCCAUUCACAAUGUGAUAGGAAUCAGCCUAACCAAAUAAGUGAGAGACGUCUACAAUGAAAGCUUCAAAUCUCUAAACACGUAGGUUGAGCAAGACACUAGAAAAUGGAAUGUCCUUCCAUGCUGAUGGGCUGGUUGAGUCUAUUAUGACAAUGGUGAAUCUACCAAAAUCAAUGUACAGAUUCAAUACAAUCCCUUCCCCACCCAGCCUGAACUGCCAACCACAAAUUGCUUUUUUGCUUUCAAAGGUUCAUCUAUUCUUGAUGGACUGUAUAAAUAGAAUCCGACAUGUGGUGUCAUCUUAAGUCUGGCUUCUUUCACUUAACACGUUUUCGAGGUUCCCUCAUGUUUCAAGUGUUGCACGAGUACUGAAGCGCUGGAGCUCCUUUAUAUUCCAGUGUUGUAUACAUUUACUUCUCAGAUUUAAUGUCCCAGUAAGUCCAUCACAAAGUGAGAAGUUUGUGAACUGUAAGUGAAUUUUGUAUUACAUAUAACUUCAUAGCUCAGCUACACAGUACACAGUACACAGUACACAGUACACAGUACACAGUACACAGUACACAGUACACAGUACACAGUACACAGUACACAGUAUGCCAUGGGCCAUCUGCUGUUACCAUGAGAGCAUGGGACUGACUGGGAGCUGUGACCUGCUUCCACUGCGCAGCAACUGAAGAGAAGAUCUUCCUGCAUGUAAGCCUCAAAAGAAAACCCCAAACAUACAGAAGGCUUUCACACUAGAGGCGAAAUUAGUGGCUAGAGUGAUUGUUCAGUAAAGUGCCAAGUAGGCAUGAAGUCCUAUAAUCAGUCCCCCUUCCCCUAUAUAAAAACCUAGUCGUGGAGGUACAAAUAUAAUACUAUUGCUAGGAGGCAGAGAAAGACAGAAGGAGCCCUAGGCUUGCUGACCAGCUGCUGCUCUAAUCAAAUCAGCAAACUCCAUUUUCACUGAGAGCUUGUCUCAAAAAAUAAGGUGUAGAGCAAUUGAGGAAGACACCCAACAUUGACGUCUGGGCUGUGCAUGUGCAUGCACACAUGCGCAUGCACACACACAUACACACACACACACACACAAGCACAGCACACGAAACAACACAAAUGCACACAUGCACACACCUGUGCAAACACACAUGCAUACCACAUGCAAACAUAUGCACACAACAUGCACACACACAUACAUGCACAUAAACGCACAUACACAUGCAUACACGUAUGUGCACACUCACCCACACCCACAUCACUCACAUGUAUAUACACUUACAUGAACAUAUAUACACACAAAGUGUUUUAUCAAACCAUCAUCGAGCUAGCAACUGACUACAUAAUCCACAUUUGGUUUAUUCAUCUACCUUGUUGAUGAUCAUGUAAGUUCUUUUACCCUUUGGUUAUUGUCAGUAGUGCUACUGUCAACAUUUGUGUACAAGAAUGACUUUGACAACACUUGUCAUUUCCCAUUUCAACAGCAACUAUCCUAGUGGAUAUAAAGUGUGUCUUAUGGCCUUAAGAAUGUUUCCUGUAUUUUUGAGACUGUAAUAUAAUUACACUUGUUUCCUCUCCCCUUCCUCUUCACAGGCCAUCCCAUAUACCACUCCUUGCUCUCUUUCAACUUCAUGAUUUUUUCAUUGUUCUCUCUUCCUCUCCCUCUUCCUCUCUCUUAAAUGUGUAAGUACAACUUGCUUAGUCUAUGAUGACUGGGCAGGAGAAAGAGGAAGGCAGAACUUGAGACCAAGUAGGGAUCAUGAGGAGAAAGCAGAGGAGGUAGAAAAAGGAGGUUGCCAUGAGGCAGGCCAGGCCAGGAGCAUGUGGCUAAGAGAAGCUCACAUUGAGGACACACAUGAAACAGAGCAGGACUCAGUUGGCAAGUAGUGGGGCAUUUACCUGGUUAUUGAUAGCCUAGUUGCCAAGUGGUGGGGCAUUUACCUGGUUAUUGAUAGCCUGGUUGCCAAGUGGUGGGGCAUUUACCUGGUUACUGUUAGCCUAGACAAAUUAUAAUAUUCUCAGAACCUGUGCACUGCAGAUUUUCAGCUUGUUAAUAAAUUCUGAUGUCUCUGUGCUGUUUACUCAAGAGCAAUACAGUAAAGAGUGAGACAGGACACCCCCCCCCAAUCACUUCAGUAUUCAGAGUGAACCACUUAGCAUUGGAUAACCAAUUGGUGCGUUUUUCCCCGAGGAAGCCGACUUCUCCUGUUCUUAUUGUACCUUAGUUGCCUGUAGAUCUUUACGUAGGGUUGAGACCUCAAUGACUUUCCCCAUCCACUUUAGCGCGUCUUUUGUAGUCGUUCUUGCUCAGCUCACAUUUGGAAAGUUGUGUUGACGAGACUUUAUGGGUGUAACUUCUGACAUUCUUAGGAGACACCAUCUCAUAGCUAGCUGCCUGGUCCUCUGGUUCUUGCAAUCUUUCCAUUCCCUCUUGCACAGUGCUCCCUGAGUCUUGGGUGUUUUGUAGAUGUACCCAUCGGGAGUGGGCUCCACAACUCUGCAUUUCCAUUUGUUGCAGUUUUUGAUUUGUUGCAGUUUUCUGUAGUGGUCUCCAAGUAUCGCACAGAGUUUUGUUGACAAAGAGUAACUUCAUUUAUGUGAGAGUAUAAAGACAAGUGUUUAGAUUGUUGUUAGGGAUCCUGUGGGUUUAGUGAAGUAGUUGUAGGUUCUCUUUCAACAUCCAUGACGUCACUGAACCUGGGUAAUUGGCAAGAUUUCCAGUACUAGGCUCAGUUCCCCUCUUGUUGAGCAGGUCUUAAGUCCAAUUCGAGAGCUGUUGGUUAUCACCAAGGUAUGUGUGCCAUACUGGACCCUUAAGAUUAUUGUGCCAUGUGGCCAUUGUUGUAGUUCACAGGAGUUGGCUGGGUAGGAUUGUUGGUGGCUUCCCUCCUUUGGAAGCUUGCAUGGUGCCUUGCGGUACUGUCAAAGCUGGUCCUUAGGGAGAAUGUUUCCAGGUCAGUUCCAGUUCAGGGUCCUCUGGGGCAUACGUCUGAAAUGUGUGGUGUCUUCAAAAAUAGAGACAAACCUUCCACAUCCUGGAGGCCACCAAGGGUAAUAGCAAUUGCUAUGUUUUGGGAGCCUCUUGGACAACUGUUACCAACAACUGAAAAGAGGGAUUCUCAUGCCCAGUAUUGAGGUUUUUGUAAGAUGGUCAUUGGCUCUUAGAGGCAACAUUGUCAGCCCCGAUGGGAAGUUUUCAUUCAGACUCUGCGUGUAUGUAUACUGACUUACUGGCAUCGUGGGUAUUUUAGGUGGACAGUGAGUAGCAACAUCCCUUAUGACCCUUCCAGUUAUUCUCACUGUUACUUUCUUCCCCUCCCUCCUUUUGCUGUGUUUACUUCCUCCCUUUUCCCUAACACAGCCCGUCCUUUUCCUAUCCCCUGUCCCCGGUCAGGAUCAGAUCCUUGUACCCUACCUUUCCCUCUCUAUUGCUCCCUCACCCACCCACCCUGGCAAUAGUCACUCCAUUUUACAUUCUUUGUGCCGGCACUCCUCCAGGAUGUGUGCUUACAUCUGACGACUCGGAGCUUGGAGCUCAAGUUAGUGAGAACCGUGAUGUUUGUCUUUCUGGGUCUCGGCUGCUCAGUCAGUAUGAUCUUUUCCGGUUCUGUCCAUUUACAAAUCCAGCUCCUGGAGAGGGGUCUUACUAUGGUCUCCAUGUUCCUAUCCACCACUCACCCUCCCAUGUGCCUACUGUCCCAUUAAAAUAUCUUCUUUGGAGAAAUAUACAUCUUUUUUGGGGGGCUACCUUUAAUUGUGUCUUCUUGUUGAGCUGUAAGGUUUUUUUAACGUGUAUAUCCUGGUACAAAUCUCUUACAGAUAUAUGGUUUGAAAAUAUUUUCUCUCAUUGUGAAAUGUUGUCAUUUUAUUUUCUCAAUUUUUUUAUGCACUAAGCUUUUUUUUUGUGAGAUAGGAUCUCACUAGGUAUCCCUCACUGGGUUGGAACUCAAAAUGUAGGGCAGGUCUGUCACAAACUUACAGAGAACCCUUUGCCUCUGUCUCCCAAGUGCCAGGAUUAGUGCAUGUGUUACCUGGAUUCCAUUCUGAAGUUCUAUGAAAUCCAGAAAUUAUUUUUCUUGUGUGGAUUAUUCUUUUGAGCUAUCUCUCAGUGUCUAGCCUCAAAUAGGAGGCCAUAAAACUUACCCCUCUGUUUUCUCCUGAGAGUUUCAUAGUUUCAGCUUCUAGAUUUAGAUAUUUGACCUAUUUGAAUUAAUUUUUGUAUAUAAUAUAAAUUAGGAGCCCAAUGUCAUUCUAUUGCAUAUGGAUAUCUAAUGCUGGGGCAGACUAUUCUUCUGCAUUCUUUUGUCUUGGUAUUGUUGUUGAUUGGUGAUAGAUAAAUGCUAUUGUUUCUGAACUCUAAAUUCUAUUCAUUGACCCAUAUAUCCUGUGUGUGUGUGAGUGUGUUGGGAUGGCCUGCCUUCUACAGAGACAGGAAAGAAAAUACUUCAGUACAUUCUAUCUAGAGUUCAAAUGUAUGGUUGCCUGUUUUCUGUGGCUGUAACAGAGUAUCUGAGUCUAGGUAAUUUAUAAUGACAGAAGGUUUAUUUUGGCCCUGUUUCAUGAAGCCAGCAAAGUUCCAUAUUUAGAGGGCGUUUCUAACGAGGGCCUCAGCUUCUGGAACUCACAACAGAAAGUAGGAGGGAUCCCAUGACAAUGAAGGAGUGCUGAGAAAGCCAACUUGAUUUUGUAACAACUGACUCCUCCCAGUAAGUAAUCCAGUUUCACAAGAGAGAGCACUGACUGGCAUGAGGCUUCUGGUUCUGUGAGGUCAGCACUUUCCAUGAAGCCUCCCUCCCAUCAGUGCCAGUCACAUUGAGCAAUGAAGGCUCCAACCCACGAGUGGGAAACACUCACAUUGCAGCCCUCUUGUCAUGCUUCGGUGGCAGAAGACUACUGUUAACAUUAGGCAUGAGCCCUGCCAACAAGGACACCGAGAGCAGUGCCUAGGGAAUUUCUCAAGAACUGGAAUGUUUAAACAGAAGCAGCCUAAUGCAAUUGUGCUUGGCAGACCUUUCCAAGAAGCACAGCUUGAAUUUUCUUGCCGGAUAAAUUCCUUCUAUCGAUACAAGAUCAACAAGUCAAGAAAAGAAAAGUACAUCAAGGACAUGGCAAGCAACUUGGAAAUGUUGUCAAAGUGCCCAGUGGGGCAAGAGACAUUAAUUAGAAUGGCUCACUUGGCAUUACCAUAUGCCAUCUCCCUCCUCAGCCUUUGAACGUGAGAAUGCGCUGUUAGUUAUUUCUCUGUUGCUGUGAUAAAACACUAUGACCGAAGGCAAUUUAAAGAAGAAAGGGUUAAUUUAGCUUACAGCUUCACAGAGAUAGAGUUUAUAAUAACAUGAGAGCAGGAGCAGGAAGCAGAGAUCCAGUUUCAUCAGAAUGGGAACAGGAGGUGAGGUGAGGCUAUGAGGCCUUGAAACUGCUCCCCAGUGACAUACUUCCUUCAUCAAAGCCAUGACACCAAAGGUUCCAUAACUUCCCCAAACAGUGCCACCAACUAGGGACCAAGUGUUCAAAUACAUGAGCCAAUGGAGGACAGUCCUCAUUCAAACCACAACAGUGGUCAAACUUCCUAAGAUUAAAUUCAAUUUAACUAUAUGUGAUAAAGCUUGUAAAAAUCAUUUAAUAUUUUGAUUAAAUAAAACUUUAUUUAUAGUCUGUGUAUUUCCAUUUAGAUAAUUAGAACACAUUGUUUAUAUUUAUAUUAUUAAUAUAGUUCUUAUUUAGACAUUUACAAAUAAUUAUCUAACAAUUUAUUGAGUGUUUUCUAUCUUGCUAGAAGGUAUUUAUUACCUUACAAUAAAUACUAUAUGAUUGCCUUGUAUGAGCUAUUAUGUAGGCUCUGUGUCCCAGAUCGGUUUUGUAGCAGAUCUAGGUUGCAGAGUUGUUAAGUGUUCAGAUGGUUCUGCCUGCUCUGGUUCUACUGGCUUCGGGCUGAGUUCUAGCUAACUAGAUCCCAUAUCCUUAGCUUCUAAAUUCAGCCAAGACCCAUGGGAGGUCUUGGUUUUUCCACAUAGAAUUUGAAUAAUAUGCUAAGAGAACUCUCAAAAGAACUAGAAAAGAAGAAAACACCAAAUCAUAAACAUUGAACAUGUGUCAGUGGAUCCCAAAAGAAGGAAACUUCCUCAUGCCCACUAGUCCAUGAAAAUCUUUUCCUAGACCCAGUUUUUUUCACAUUACCCCAAUAUCCCUUUCUUGGGUUCCAGAAAUGGACAUUAUGAAUUCAUUUCUGAGUAAACCCACUUCUAUUCCUAGAUUCCUAACCUCCACAGGGGUAUGGGACAUGAUUGCUAGCAGAGGAAGGCCUAUAGCUCAUAUGUCUAAAUAUUUAACAGUUGUAAAUCCAGUCAACAAACCGUUAAAUAGUGUGAUAGCAUCCUUCCUUGAUAAAUACAACUUUACGUGACUUAGAGACUGGUCUAACCUUGGCUUUCCUGCCCCUGUCCCUGACAUUCUUGCUUUAUUUCAAGGGGGGGCUAUUCAGAUUGUUUGUCCAUACUGCAGCCAGUACCCAAGAUCCUUAUUAUUUCUUAAAAGUGCAUGUGAUCUAUAGUAAAUUCAGUGACAUUUUAGAUUUUAAAUAAAGAUGGGAGGGGGGAGAGGGAGAGGGAGAGAGAGAGAGAGAAAAGAAGGAGGAGGAAGAGAAGGAGGAGGAGGAAGAGGAGGAGGAGGAAAAGGAGGGGGAGGAAGAGGAGGAAGAGGAGGAGGAGGAAGAGGAGGAAGAGGAGGAGGAAGAAGAGGAGGAGGAGGAAGAGGAGGAGGAGGGAGAGGGGGAGGAAAAGGAGGAGGAGGAGGAAGAGGAGGAAGAAAAGGAGGAGGAGGAAGAGGGGGAGGAAAAGGAGGAGGAGGAGGAGGAGGAGGAGGUGGAGACAGAGGAGGAGGGAAGUGAACAUGUGUUUGUAUGCUUGACUAGGCAAUGUGACUCACAUACCCAGAGUCAAGCACAUCAGUGUUAGGCUUCCCUGCUCAGAGGCCCCUCCAGUCUCUGCCUGAGCCUCCCUUUCCUCACAGUUUAUCUUAAUCCAUUCUGUGUUGCUAUAACAAAAUAUCAAGCACUAGGGAUAAAGAAAAUGUAUUUUGGCUCAAGGUUUUGGAACCUGAAAUGUCCAAGCUCUGGUGGCAACACAGGACGUGAGAGCAAGCUAGAGAGGAAAGAGCAAUGGAGGAAACGGUGAGGCGUGGGGAGCCCUUUUCAUAAACACUUUCCCUCAUGGUAACAGCACAGCCAGCAAGAGAAAGAUUCGCUGCUGUGUGCGCGUGUGCGUGUGCAUGUGUGCGAGUGCGCGCUCACGCACGUGUACACAUAUAUUUUGGAGCUUGCCUUGAGGUCAGUUCUCCUGCCACGUAGGCCCUAGAGACUGAACCCACACUGACCCUUGGUAGUGAGUGAACAUGUGCUGAGCCAUCUCACAAGCUCCAUUAAAUCUCCAAGUCUUCCUUUGGAGACCAACAUGGAUGGGGGAGGUACAAACUACAAGACAGAGUUGGGGCCCAUAGGACAUGGCGUCCUGCUUGCUAUUGGCUCAGUAAACGCAGUAAGUUCAGAGACUGGGAGUUCUGCUGAGAAGGACCCCAGCUCACUCCAGGGCAGAGAUCUUCCCUUCAGGACUGUCCCUCUGAGUGGAUCUUACUGUCCUGACACUGUGUGACCCUCUAGGCCUCGGGGACACAAGGUUUCCUAGGGGGCAGGGGCAGAAGUCGAGUUGAGACGUGACAGAUGCUGCAAGUGGUCUGCUGUGGAGGGAGGGCCAGCAGGUAGGACACGGUCCAUUUAAUAUUUAAAAAGCAAAAAUGAGCUCUCUACUCCAGUCAGCUACUGGCCACUGUGAUGUGAAGUCCGUCCAAAGACAGGAGGUACAAAUCUGACCCGGUAUUUCGCCCCUUGGCCACAGAGUUGUCUUUCUUUGUAAGACCGGCCUCACUGCUCAAAUAGUCAUAGUCUAUACUUUUUUUUUUUCACCCAGUUCAGCUAGGACAUCUGACUGGAACUCACAGUGAGGAAACUGAUUCUUGCCCCAGGUCCUGGCAGGAGACACCCUGGUGAACAGAAUAGCUGCAUUCCUUUGGGUGGGGGUGGGGUUGGGGGAACUGAUCUUGAUCAGCGUACAGUGGGAAUCAGGCUGGAAUUAGCCGGUCAGAAGUCUCAGAAGUGUUAGCAACUGGGUAAUUUCACAGCUGCCCAGGUAUAAAUGUUUACAGUUUUGAGCCUUUCUUUUUCUGGUUCAGUCUCAUUUGCAUUUCACAGCAAACUUCUGGGAUCUCCUAAGACUGGACCAUUCAACCACUAACUAGCUCCUUCACUAGGAGAGAUCGUGGCAGCCAGCCUCCUUUUGAGGUCUCUGUGUUUGCAUCCCAAUAUUCUCCAAAAUUCAUUAAGUUUGAGUAAGUCAGCCAACAUUUCUCCUGGAAAAUAAUCAGAGAAAUCAGAGGACUUGGGGUAGGAGUUGCAGCUCUGAGGGGGUGGUUUCCUCAGUCCAAUGUCCCGGCUUUGAGGGGUAGGGUGAGAACAGUGCUGUUUCUGCUGCUGGCUCUGCUCCUCACAGCCUUUCACGUUUGAAAUACACCAGGAGCUUGCCCUGAGGGACAGGAUCCUGAUGACCAGUGACCCCCAGCUCAGGAACAGGUUGGGUGGUGUCUCCCUAUGGCAGGGUGUUGGUUUCGAUUACAAACACCAGAAGCCACAGGUGGCAUGAGAAAAUGCCAGGACCAGCCCAGGUCACACCUCUGAUCAAGCCCCAGCUCCUGGAAAGAGUAUCAUUGAUCUUUACAAACCUUCCCGAGAGCCAUGCAGAACAUCUGUCCAGCAUCCAGGAAGCGUUGGGUAAAAGUGGAGCGAAAUUUCUAAGCCAGCUCUUUAUAACUUCCCCCAGCCCCCACUCACCUGCUAGGACGUUGAGCAAUCAAAGAUGAAGGACAGAGUUGUUGAUCCCCCAGGGCAGGUUGAUAGACGUGUGUCUGUCAGUGCUGGACGGCUGUCAGUACUGGACGGCAGCCACACCUCACAAAGAAGACUGGAGGGGACACCACAGUUUCCCCCAGAUUCUAGGAAGCUUGUCAGAGGGCACUGAGUUAGACUGAGAGGAGGUCACAUUCUCCUAAGGACGGCAUCGUGGGUGAGGGCUUGUUGCAGGAGCUUGUUGAACACAGCAAGAAGAGGUGCAAACGUGCGCGCACACACACACACGUUUUCUGGCCCAGAACCUGUGAUUUCUACUCCAAAGCUUAAACGGGUACAGAAAAUUUGAUUCAGGAAUUGUGCUUCUGUAUUUUGUCCCAGACAUUUAAUUUUUUUCAUAAAGCUUGCAUGCAUGUAUGCUCUCUCUCUCUCUCUCUCUCUCUCUCUCUCUCUCUCUCACACACACACACACACACACACACAUCAACAUUAUGUCUAAAAUAGUGAAAUAUUUAUGACCUGAGAACCAUCACAAUAAAGGCUUAAUAACUCAGGAGAUUAUGCUCACACAGCUAUUGAAGUGAUUUAAUGCUAUAUUUUUUAGUGGAAAUGUUUUUAUUAUAUGAAGUAGAAAACGGCAGGAUGCUAAUACUACCCUCAUCAAUACACACAUGCAUCUCUGUAUCUACAUAUCUUUGAAGCAUACAUAAAAAUACUCUUUCUCAAUGUGGCAGCAGAACAACUACCUUCAAGUCUUGAGCGUGUGUCUCUUUGCACCUGAAUGUUCAGCUAUGAAUACAUAGAGUAAUAGUAGUCACAUUUACGACGAUGAACAUGCACUCUGCUGGUCACUAAUCACGGAUCUUUCUUCCUCUUAAACUGCUCAGCCAGGGCCCAGCUUCCCUGCCUGGACAUCGGGAAGGAAGGCUGGAAUCAAAGGCUAAAACUGCCGGCAGCUGUAGGAAGGACAAUCCCACAAGCUUGGGGUUCUAGCACCCCGUGGCAGGCUCAUGGAGUUUCGGAAAUCAGUAAAUCUGAACUAACAUUUUAACGUUAUAGGCAAAGCUCUUCUUGGUGGUGGAAAUGAGGAUGUCUUUUAAAAUGAAAGAAAAUCAUAUUAUUAGCCUGGCAUGGUUGCAUACACAUUUGACCCCAGUCCUUGGGAGGCAAGAAGGCAGGGCAAUUUGAGGCUACCCUGAGCUCUGAACUCCUGAGCGGCAGAGCAAGACCCUGCCGGAAAUAAAGAAGAAAGGAAGGGAGGGAGGGAGGAAGGAAGAGAGUCAUAUUCUUAAUAUCUGCCUCUUUGUAUAUUGUGUUGUCUCUUAGAUGAGAAACAACUUGAAUACUGAAAUGUUCUCACCCAGUAGCUUUCUUUGUCUCUGGCCUAUUGGGUCCAGAGUCAGCUCUGAGAGCCCAGGAGUUUUUAUGGUUUUUGUGCCAGAGUGCAGAAGUGUGCUUGCCACAUACCAGCUGCUCAGUAUAUGGGCUUCUUUUAUCGUAUGUUUUUAGUUUAAAAGCCUCUGCUGUUCUGAGAUACAGGUAUUGUCGUGGAGCCCUGAUGAACCUAGGAUUCACUACAUGGCUAAGUCUGACCCUUGGGUGCUGGGAUUACAUGGGAUUGUGCAUGGCCAUGCCUAGAUGGAAGCUGGGGGUGGGGUGGAGUAAAAUAACCCAUUGAGAGCUGCAAACAAAUGCUGUAUUCAUAAUAAUUACUCUCAAGACAUGAAUUUGUAAGUAGAAUUCCAGAACAGAAUCUCAUUUUUCCAUAUAACUACUUUUUCAAGCAAUCAGCACUCUUUUAAAAUCAGGUAUGAUCUUUAUAAAACAUAGAAAAAUUAAAUAUUUUUUAUUUUUAUUCAUGUUCAUGUAAGUCUUCAUGGAGGAGUAUAUACCUAUGGGCAGGUACCCUGGGAGGUCUGAGACAUCAAAUUCCAAUUUCAGGCAGCCUGACUCUGGUACUAGGAACUGUACUCUAGUCCUUUGCAAGAGCAAUCUAUAUAGAUUCUUAGCUGCUGACCGGCUCUCCAGGCCCAUUUUAAAGGAGAUCUUCGAGAUAUGGUGGUACACACCUUUAGGCCCAGCACUUGACAGAGGCAAUUGCUCUGUGAGUUCAAGACCAGCAGGUCUACCUAGACCGAACCUCAAAAAUGAGCUAGUAAACAAACAAACCGGCCAGAUGUGGCAACAUACCCCGUAAUCUCAACACUUGGAAGCUGAAAACAAAGGAUUGAAACUUCAAGGAGAGCCUAGGCCAUGCAGAGAGACACUGUCCAAAAACAAACAAACAAACAAACAAACAAACAAGUUAAAGUAAGCGCCAGAUUAUUUAUGGAAUUGGAUCUUGUCUGUCCUUAGAUGAGUCACGGCACAUGAUACCUAAGCUUGACCUUUCUCGUCUCCAAAACUAUAACAUAAAACUAGAUUGUAUUGAAUUUUUCCUUUAGCUCAAACAUUUUUAAAAUUAGCUCUGGUUCAAUCAUUUAAGUUAUUAGGGUUUCGAUAAUUUCAUGUUAUUGCAUUUGGAUAUUUUUUAUUUACAUUUAAAAUGUUAUCUCCUUUCCUGGUUUCCCCUCCAGAAACCCGCUAUCCCACCCCCCACUGCUUCUAUAAAGGUGCUCCCUCACCCAUUCACACACUCACUCACUCCCACUUCCCUGCCCUGGCGUUCCCCUACACUGGGGCAUCAAGCCUUCACAGGACCAAGUACCCUCUCCUCCCAUUCAUGCCCAACAAGGCCAUCCUCUGAUUCAUAUGCGGCUGGAGCCAUAGGUCCAUUCCUGUGUUCUCUUGGGUUGGUGGUUUAGUUCCUGGGAGCUCUGGUUGGUUGGUAUUGUUGUUCUUCUUAUGGGGUUGCAAACCUGUUCAGCUCCUACAGUUCUUUCUCUAACUCCUCCAAUGGGGAACCCAUUCUCAGUUCAAUGGUUGGCUGCAAGCAUCUGUCUCUGUAUUUGCCAGGCUCUGGCAGAGCCUCUUAGGAGACAGCUAUAACAGGCUCCUGUCAGCACUUCUUGGCAUCCACAAUAUUGUCUGGGUUUGGUGUCUAUAUAUGGGAUGCAACCCCCAGGUGGGGCAAUCUCUGGAUGGUUUUUCUUUCAGUCUCUGCUCCACACUUUGUCUCCAUAUUUCCUCCUGUGAGUAUUUUCAUUCCCACUUCUAAGAAGGUCUGAAGCAUCCACACUUUGGUCUUCCUUCUUGAGCUUCAUGUGGUCUGUGAAUUGUAUCUUGGGUAUUUCAAGCUUUGGGGGCUAUUAUCCAGUUAUCAGUGAGUGCAUACCAUGUGUGUUCUUUUUGUGAUUGGGUUACCUCACUCAGGAUGAUAUUUUCCAGUUCCAUCCAUUUGCCUAAGAAUUUCAUGAAGUCAUUGUUUUUGAUAGCUGAGUAAUAUUCCAUUGUGUAGAUGUACCACAUUUUCUGUAUCUAUUCCUCUGCUGAAGGGCAUCUGGAUUCUUUCCAGGUUCUGGCUAUUAUACAUAAGGCUGCUAUGAACAUAGUGGAACAUGUGUCUUUGUUGUAUGUUGGAGCAGCUUUUGGGUAUAUGCCCAGGAGUGGUAUAUCUGGGUCCUCAGGUAGUGGAAUGUUCAGUUUUCUGAGGAAACACCAGACUGAUUUCGAGAGUACCAGCUUGCAAUCCAGCAACAAACUUCUAUUACAUGAUUAAUUACAUAAUAACUAAGAUAUAUAAUUAUAUAAAAUUACAUAACAAUUGCACAUUAUUAAUCACAUAAUAAUUACAUAAUAAUAAGUAAAAAUGACAUUUUCAGUUUUAUGCAACAAAUUUGCAAAUCAAUUAUGAACUAGUCAUUGUUCUAAGCAUCAGUGGCCAAGUCUAGUGAUGGAAUUUAUAUUCAGGACCAUUUACUGCUAUCUUUUAAUUCCAAUGACAUACAUUUUGAGUAUCUUCAAAUUCUUGAACUCCACCUCCAUGAAACAUCACAGCCCAGGAUUAGAAAUAUUUAUGGGGGCUGGGGAGAUGGAUUAGUGGAUAACCUGUGCAAGCAUGAGGACAGAAGUUCAGAUCUCUAGAGUCCAAGUAAAAGCCAAGCAGAUGUGGCAGCCACCAGUAAUCCUAGCACUGAGGAGCAGAGAGGAAGCUCUGGGGCAAGCUGACAAGCUAAACUUGGGAUUGGCAAGCUUCAGGUUCAGCCAGCACAGAAUACCUCAAUAAAUGAUGUAGAUCUUGACUUAGGAGGACACUAGCAUCAACUUUGGGCCUUCACAUGCAUGCACCCAUGCAUGCACAUGUGCUCCCACACCUAUGCAAAUACACAUAUACACAUUCAUGCAUGGCACAUGCACAUACACAGGCAAAAUAUUAGAAAACUGUUGCAUCUGUAUUGACCAUUUAUAAUGUUUUUUUUCCUUUUCUUUUUUCUCUAAUGAACAGCACAGCAUAACAGCUAUGAACAUUUCUGUAGAACUGGCUGUUAAAAAAGAUCUAGAGAUGCUUUGUAGUUUAUGAGAAGCUGAGUGUUGGUUAUAUGCAAAUAUCAUACUUUUCAUAUAAAGGACUGGAAUAUUCACAGAUGUUUGCUAUCUUCAGUGAUUUGACACCGGAGACCCUCUGAAAUCAAGAAAUGAGCAAGUUGAGGCUGAAGAGAUUGGUCAACAGUCAAGAGCACAUGCCACUCUUACAUAAGACCCAAGUUCUAUUCCAAACAUCCAUGUCAGGUGGCUUAUAACUUCCUGCAGCUCCAGCCCCUAGGGAUCCAAAUACUUCUCCUCAGCUUCCUGCCCACCUGCAUGCGUGUGCUUAUAACUUCCCCAAACAUGUUAGCAACAACAACAAAGGCGGCAGGUGCCCCUGAAAAAUGAUCUAAUCUUGAAGAUGUGUUUGGAAAAGAGGAAACAUUUCCUAUCUUCACCACGUAUUUCAGAUAUUUGAAAUCUUGUCAGAAGUCGAAGAGUAGCAAUCUCUUAAGUUUAAUUGUAAUGUAGAAUCUGAAACUGUGCAAGUCUAAUUUUUCUCUCUUGGUGACACUAAUGCAUGGGUCAGCCUUGCAACAAAUGAAUAUUAUAUCCCUGCCCAAAUGGAACUACAUAUCUUGCAUGGAUCAUUGGUCAGGGAGUUCUGCAGGUCUAUGUAUUGAUCCACUUCCCUAGAAACCACAUCUGUUAUAUCACUACAAAUCUCAUCUGAAAAAAUCUUCAUCCCUGAAUGUAAUGGUAUUUAGAUGAAGGGCCUGUAGGAAGGUAAUUAUUAAAAGGAACCCUUAGGGUGGUCCUUCUUCCAUUCGAACUAUUGUCCUUAUAUGAUGAGAAGACUGUCCUGCCACCCCUGGCCAGCAGUGUCCAGAUGCUCUGUGCAUACGCUGGUGAAUUACCUCAUGGUGGACUGAAGUCGAACAGCCACAUCUGCUUUGGAGAGGACUCUCUAUGCAUGGAUCCACAGGUGCACUCAUACAGGGGAAGAGCCUUUCAAAAGUGGAUUUGAGGGGUUGGGGAUUUAGCUCAGUGGUAGAGCGCUUGCCUAGCGAGCGCAAGGCCCUGGGUUUGGUCCCCAGUUCCAGAAAAAAGAAAAAAAAAGUGGAUUUGAUAGCUGUGACAGGAAGUUUGCCAAUGGCAGGGAUCAAAAGAAACACUCCCAUGUCAGUACCAGUGACAAGACCUACUACUGUAAGAUUCAAGGUUGUGACAUAUCCGACAUUCACCCACAUUCUCUGAGGAAGCACAUGAAGAUUCACUGCAUGACCCACCCCGCCCCCACCUUCACCAGGAGCCCUUGGCUACUCAUCAGUGGGUAUUCCAGUGAGUGGUCCUUUGUCCUCUGCGCCUGACUCAACCAGAGGACGAUAAAGCACUCUGUCCCUUCACGUGACCAACCUCAAUGUGAGGUACCCUUUCCAGGCCACUUGGCUCCAACCACCUCCACACACAAUUAAGGUCACCCGUUUAUACUAACCUACAUUCUGCUACUUGGCUGGUUACCUCUGCUUAGGCACCAUCUGUCCUCUCACAUCUUUCCUAUACUCUGCUCUAUCCCAGAAUUCUUUCUGCCUACCAGACAUCCCGCCUUUUAUUCUACCCUUUCGUAUAAGUCAUAGGUUUUUUAAUUGACAGGUGAUGCAUCCAUACAAUACAUAAGAUAUUCUCUCUGUAUCAAGCAGACCAUACAUUAGACAUAUCAUCAUCAUCAUCAUCAUCAUCAUCAUUAUUAUUAUUAUUAUCAUUAUUAUUAUUAUUAUUAUACAAUAGGAGUCCUUGAACCUGUUCUAACCUGAGACAAUGAUGAGUCAGACCUGGUGACUCAGACAGGUCACUAGGUCUAAUUAUACCUGUUUGUUCAGCAUGAAACCCUAUGGUGUUUGUACACUUAAUUAAUUUAAUUGAAACAGUUUUUUUUUCUCUUAAAAUACUGCUAGGUCUGGCAUGGCAUCAGAAGAGACAGUGUGACACAGUUCCCACCCCUGGAGCAGAGCCAACAGGGUGUGGGUCCUCUCAGUGCCAGUGGUUGCUGUAGGCAUAAGGCUUGUUUGUAUAAUAAUGUAUAUAUUUUAUGUUCCUCCUUUGGGGAAUGUUCUCCCUGUGAAGAUUAAUGACUACAUGAUAAUCAGAAACAGUACAAUUCCAGGAAUCAAGAAUGUGUCUGGUGUUCCUCAGCAAAAUAGUAACACUGUGACCUUCAUUCAGAACAACCCUUAAGGCUGUAGAAAAGAACUCUGAAAACAUGAGUUCAAGAAUAUAUAAAAUUAAUUUAAGAACUGUUCUUUACAGAAUUUCUCAACUAUGCAAAAUAUAAGAAAUACAAUAUGAAUUGUACGAGGGGCUUCAUAGACCUGAAAGAAUAGAGACAGCUUUGUCAGAAAGGUAUUAAGGAAGGAAAUAAAGAGAUUUAGGGGGUGGUGAUCUAAGGGCAAGAUCCCACCCAGAUAGGCUUAUUGUUUGUGUUUGUAGUUGAACAAGGAAUAGUUUGGAUUUUUAAUCUGGAAUGAACUAUAAUCGAGAAAUGGAGUUUUAAGAUCUGGAUCACACUUGUGGAUGGAAGACACAGGCUUUUGAUCCAGAUCUUGAGGAAUAAUGGCCAUGAAAAGCUCAGGCCCAGGCAUGGUGGUAUAUACCUUUAAUCCCAGAGGACAAAAGAAAUCAGAUUUCUCAAUUAAAGGCCAGUUUGGGGCAGACCAAGUUCUAGGUAAAGAAAAGCUUAAGUCCAGGCAUGGUGGAGCAUGCCUGUAAUUCCAGUGUUCAGGAGACAAAGCCAUGCAGAUCUUUGAGUCUUUGAGGUCUGUCUACAGAGCAAGCUCCAGGACAGACAAGCUUAGGCCAGGCCAUGAGGGAGUAGGAAACUGGAAAGUUGGUAAUAAUGUAAUAGAACAAUGGGGCUCCAGCUCUAGCAAGCAGCUUUGGCCAUGUGCUUAUGGAAAAUAAAAGACUUGGCUUUGGUCUGAGAGAAAGGAGGGGGAGUACCUACAGCAGAACACAGAGCUGUCAGCUGUGUCCAUCACUGACUCCAAGUCAUUUGUUCACUGCUCCCAUUCACCACUUCCUUAGGACCUUCUCUCAAGCUGAGGCAGGUCCUCAGCAAGACCAACCAACCAACCACCAAAACAAAGAAUAGGUCAACUCCUCUUUUGUGCUACUGUAUUAACCCCCUGUUUAUUGUUUUUAAAGGUCUUUAUUUUAAUGUAUUUUUUCACUGGAGUCCUAAGCACUGUUAAAUUUUUUUUUCUUUUUUAUUUAUUUAUUUUUUUAUUAACUUGAGUAUUUCUUAUUUACAUUUCGAGUGUUAUUCCCUUUUACUGUUAAAUUUUAAACGGCGUAUAGCUCCCACCAAAUACUGAUGCAAGCGUGACCUUGCCAGAGCUAUCGAGCCAAGGAUACAAAGGGUCAAGGACACAGGACAGGACCUCUUAGUUUAUACUCCAUUGGUACAACAUAUCUCCCAUACAAACUGUAGCCCAUGAGAAACAUCAGACACAGAUACCAAGGAAUACUAGUUUAUCCUUAGGGACCCUAAAGACACCCUCCCCCGCCAGGGUUUGUAGAAAUUUGCUUCGUGUGCUAUGAGUGGUUGAUGUAAUGUUGUCAUUGUUAAUAGCUAUCUGAAUAAUUUUAUUUGUGCAGUUUUUUUAUUUAUUUGCUUUUUAGAGAACCCUCUCUUUUCCCCUGGAAUAAACACCAAAUUUUUGGUGAAAAAUUGUCAUUUAUAAUCCAUGGUUUAUUUAAGAAAAAACAAAAGAAAAUGAGAAAGUAUGAAAUAUUUUUAUAAAGCUUAAGUGAAUGGAUAAGGUAAUGCGAAAACCCAAGAUGCUCCCCGCCUUCGAUGAGAUUAUGUGUGGUUUAUAGAAAUAUUACAAGUCCAGUUCUUGGUUCUGUUACUAGGACCCAUUUCAAUGUUCUCUUCAGAUUGUUAAAGUAACUGUGACACGGGCAGACCCUCCUUUACAAAGAGAAAGAGCUGCAACUUGGACAUAUAAUAAUUCUACAUUUUAAAAAGAAGAAGAAGAAUCUAGACAUCAUGGCACAGAGAUGCCAUCCCAGCUCUUCAGGGACUGGAAAAGGAGGAUCAUAAACCAAGGCCUGUCUGGACUGCAGAGCCACGUCAAGGCUACGCCGGCCAACUUAAUGAGACUUUGCCUCAAAAUAAAAGAGGAACAUAGUUAGGGGUGUACAUGGCUCAGUGGCAGAGUGGAUGCCUGUCUUGCUCUAGGCCACAGCAUUUCACACAAAAAGCAGAACACAGUGAUGCCAGGCCAUGGUGAAGAGAGAGAAGAGACAGCAAGAUAGUGGCUGUCUAGCAGGUAAGGAAGGGCCUUAGAGGAAGCCAGUCCCACUGUGGGAAAGUUGUCCUGUUGGUCAGCCACCCAGUCUGAGAUGUACUGCUUCAGCAACUCUGGAGAAUGAAUAUGAAAAUGAAUGUUGCAUCUUCUCCCAGAUGGCCACUGUAUCACGUGUCCCUUGAGAGCCAACCUGCUCUAUCUGGUAGAUCAGCUUAAGCACAUGUGAGUCUCUGCCUUUUAGGCUGAGCUGGCUAGCCCCUCUUAGGACUUGAGUCUGUAUCUGCACAGUCUCAGUGUAUCAAUACCCUUCUCCCCACCCCGCACUCCCAAAGAUCAGCUUCUGUGGUUGAGUGUGUCUAACAAUUUACUUUGUGUUCCAUGUCCGCAGUACCCAGCUCAGUAGUAGAUAAUUAAAUGAGCAGGUAAAUUCGGGUAGUACAAUUAGUCUCUGUCCUUUGCUUGUGUCCAGCAGUGACGACCCCAUUCCUGGUACAAAUCUCCGUAACAGUAGCCCUCUGAAUCCAAGUGGACUUCCACUCUGGAGGAUUUGUGUCCCGGGGCUUUCUGACCCACACUCAUAACUCCUGUGUGUUAUUAGUUUAGGUAUCGUGUCAGCAACUUAGCACAAUGUGAAAACAUGUUGUUUUCCUAUAGUACGUAUUAAGUAGUGAAACACAGUUAAUCUUUCACUGGACGCAGUCUGAAUGAAGAUAAGUUUAACUUGCUCAUGCUUUAAAAAUAUAUAAUGCAUUUCAAUUAUACUCUCCCUAAGAUGUUCAGCAGACAAAGUUAUAGUUCUCUGUGUCUGUGCAUUCACUCAUUAAUCUUUCAAAUACCCACUAAAUGCUUCUUUUGGGGCCAGAACAAUUUUGAUGCUAAGGACACAGCAAUGAACUAGACAGAUUCCUUUGGUAUAAAACUUUAUGGCGCAUCUUGUUUUAAAACCAUCACACAGAAAGCUUUAGUAGAAUACAUUAAAUAUGUUUCAAUAAAUUCUACAAUUGAAGAGUAGUGGAGAUAUUUUUAAAUUACAGUGCAAUGAAGUUCAAAGUUAAAUACAAGCUAGAGUACUAUUUGUACAACUUGCUUCACUUUUUCUUCUAAAAUGAACAAUGUCCUUCAGUGAAAAAAUCUUUUUUCUUAAUUUUAUUUUUUUUAAAUUUCAUAUUGGUUCUUUGUGAGUUUCCCAUCGUGCACCCCGACCCGGUUCAUCUUCCCACCCCCUCAUAUGAGCUCUCCAGCGCUGUUCCGGCUAGGAGACCCAGUGCUGGCAUCAGCAGGCAUGGCUGCCUUCUGCUGCUCUCCUCUCUCGUGCCCUUGGGGGUAGUUCUUUCAUGCCCACCCCUCCAGAGCCAGCUCCACUGUUUCCCAGUCAAGGCAAGGGCACCACUCUCCCAAGGGCUGCAGCCUAUGAGGAACUGGAGCGGCCCUCCUGCUCUCACACCCUUGGGGCUGGCUCACCCUUGCCUCAGUGGUAAUAUGAGCCACGGACAUCAGCCCCAACUCACGCUGCUUCGGAGCCACAGACUCUCACUUGGCUCUCAGUGGCAGCUCGGGUUGGGACCUCACCGUGACCUCAGGUGGCGCAACUGGCCGCUCACAACAGGCUCCUCCUCUCCACAUGCUCAUGCUGCUCCACAGCAAAGGGAAGGUUUCCCUGUCCUGAAUCACUUGCUCCUUUCCCGAUAGCCCGAGGCACAGCCCGAUUCCUUUUCGCUGUAAGGAUGAAGACAAGUUCAACUAAUCACCAAACGUGAACGAGUGUGAACAGCUUUUGAAUUGCCACAACCAUCUUGGUGAUUUUCUUCUGUAAAUAUAACCCACUUUCCGGAUAUGCAAGCCACUCUUGCUCAGAGGCCAAGCAAAUGCUCUCCGUAGUGACCCAGCAUUAGCAUGUGAGCUUCAAGCAUGCUCCAAGCAAAAGAAUAAACAUAAACAGAUAAUUUAGUAGGAACUGCAAGAAAAGGGGCUUUCCCAUCAUCACCGCACAUCAUCAAACAGGGAAGAGACACUCAGCAUGUCAGAGACCAGUGCUCCUCCAACACCCAUGAGAAAGCCUACCAAGUGUGCAGACAAUGAGCUGUGGCAUUCUGCUUUUGCCACAAUUAGCAGAACGCGUCAGUAAAAGAUUUCCCAAAGGGUUAGUAUCCCAUUAGUGUGGAGAAAGACUGGAUUCAAGAUUUUUAUAUCUCUUGAAACAGAUGGUUAUAAUUUAAGCUUCACGAAAUAUGGGUGGUGGAGGCGGGGGUGGGGAGGCAAUCAGAAAACCUGAAAGUCCCAGUUUCUUGUUUUCCAGGGCAAAGCCUGCAGGAUGAUUGUAUAAAUAGUUCUAAGACUCUC